UAGGGAACACAGCUGAGCAGGACGCUGGUCCCACGGAUGUGCCUGACGGCCACGCGCGUUUGGGGUCACUCCCGGGCCGCACGGCUGUGCUGUUCGCUCAGCAGGCGAGGAGCCCGGACAAACAGCAACCCACGCUGGAAGUGGCCUCAGGCGGGGCUUCGGCGGCUGCAGGGGAUGACUGGGGACAAGCCUGGGCAUGCUUCUGGGUCAGGGGUGCCCCAGGAGCAUGGCUGGGGGGACAGUGCCUGGAGGAUCCAGCGAGGAGGAACGAGUGAGUCAUCACAAUCCGCAGUCACAAGGCAGGCGGCACCUUGCACGAAGGUGCCCAGAGGUGGAGCCUCAGCCCCACAGUCUCAGCCGCGCCCUCGGCAGGUCCCCAUCCCAAAUGCUGAGCCCGGGGGUCGCACAGGGGCCAUGAGGUCCUACACGGCACCCGUCCACCCUGCCCGAGGAGGACACUUCGCAAAACCCACGACUGAGACCCACGACUGCCGUCUGCUCACCUCGACGCAAGACCUGGGGCAGAAAGCGCUUCCUCCAGCAAAUCCGAGAGGACAGGUGUUCUCACCUCGGUCUGCCGUGUGCUCCCCGGAGGCUCAGCGAUGCCUGGAACUAUGGCAGCUACUCUGAUACCAGGAGGGAAGCUACUCUGCAGACAAGACAGACAAGUGGAGCACUGUAUGGUAUAGACGUGUAGAGAAAUGUGACUGGAACCCUGAUCACACUGUACCUGAAGCCUGCCUUCCUCUGGACCUUCUAGUUAACAAGAGUCAGUAUUAAUCCAUGAAUCCAUGUUUAAGCCAGUUUGAGUGGAGCAUUCUUGAAACUCAAAGGGUCUGAUCCAAUGCCUGCACUACACAGUCCAUUUUUAGCACUGGAGCGUACAUUGAACUAUCAGGUCACCACAGGCUGCAUCCACACACACAAGUAAUAAUAUCCUGCCUCACCCGACUGGGGACCAGCCUCGCUGGGCCAGGCCGAGGUCUCCAUGGCCAGUAACUGGCUUCAUCUUCCCCAAACGCUACGAGACAGGAGCUACAAUCAUCUCCACUUCGCAGGGGAGGAGACAAGCCACUUGCCCAGGUCCCCAGCUGGGAGGGGGGGCCACUCAGCUGCAAACUCAGCACCCCCCUCCCACGUGUCCCCCCAACUGGCGUCCACACCUGUUUGUCCCACACAGCAGAUAUACUGAAGUGGAGGACAUGGUCAGGCGAGCUCUUGGUUCUUCCCCUCUGUGGGUUUUUUUCCCCCGUCAUUGGACACACAUGGGAUGUUCCUAAAAUCCAUGUGAUUUAAAUACAUUCCUAGCGUGUGCCUGUGCUCCUUUGUUGUUGGGGGCUGAGUCUGGCGUUAUGCCCUAUGCCAGUCGUUCACUAUGGCCUGUAAUGUGCGUGUGCUGCACGACGCAGCGGCAGCCAGCACUUUCGCCAGACACGGUUGCUGCCUCGUGACACAACAAGAGGCCCGAGUUUCUGCACGUGAGCAAAUGUUGCCCAGCUCCCCCAGGGAGGGCCCCCGUGGUGGGGGUCUGGAGGCCAUAGAGAUAGGAAGAACUUUCCCAAGGCCUGGCCCCGUGAGAUGGUUGGUAGUCAAUGACAGGUUAGACUCCUCAAGGGAGGGGCGACCUAAGACAGGCACAACCGCGGGGGCCGGCCGCUGGCUGGGAGAGAGAACAAGAAGUUCUUCUUAUGGCUGCA
ensembl:lincRNA